AAACUGGGAUUAGAUACCCCACUAUGUUCAGCCGUAAACUUUAAAUUACAACCCCAUCGCCAGGGAACUACGAGCAAUGCUUAAAACUCAAAGGACUUGACGGUACCCCAUAUCCCCCUAGAGGAGCCUGUCCUAUAAUCGAUAAUCCCCGUUCAACCUCACCACUUUUAGCCUUCUCAACCUGUAUACCUCCGUCGUCAGCUUACCUCGUGAGCGAAAUCUAGUGAGCCCAAUGUCUCCACAUCAAUACGUCAGGUCAAGGUGCAGUUUAUAAAGUGGGAAGAGAUGGGCUACACUUUCUAAUAUAGAAAAUACGAAAAACUACAUAUGAAAUCUAGUUGGAAGGCGGAUUUAGCAGUAAAAAGAAAAUAGAGUGUUCUUUUUAAUUUGGCACUGGGGUGUGUACACACCGCCCGUCACCCUCUUCAAAGCUUAUCAAAAGUAACUUAACUAAUUUUUGCAAUGACAGAAGAGGCAAGUCGUAACAUGGUAAGUAUACCGGAAGGUGUGCUUGGAUU
rnacentral:rRNA from 1 species